UCCAGACUCCUACGGGAGGCAGCAGUGGGGAAUAUUGCACAAUGGGGGAAACCCUGAUGCAGCGACGCCGCGUGAGUGAAGAAGUAUUUCGGUACGUAAAGCUCUAUCAGCAGGGAAGAAAAAAAGUCCUUUGGACUUUGGACGGUACCUGACCAAGAAGCCCCGGCUAACUACGUGCCAGCAGCCGCGGUAAUACGUAGGGGGCAAGCGUUAUCCGGAUUUAUUGGGUUUAAAGGGUGCGCAGGCGGCACGGCAAGCCGGCGGUCAAAUCGCGGGGCUCAACCCCGCCCAGCCGUCGGAACUGCCGGGCUAGAGUGGGCGAGAAGUGCGCGGAAUGCGUGGUGUAGCGGUGAAAUGCAUAGAUAUCACGCAGAACGCCGAUUGCGAAGGCAGCGCACCGGCGCCCUACUGACGCUCAGGCACGAAAGCGUGGGUAUCGAACAGGAUUAGAUACCCCAGUAGUG
rnacentral:rRNA from 1 species